ensembl:lncRNA
CCAAGCCUUCGCGGAUGCUGUAGUCUUGUGGUGGAGAAGAUUCUGAGAGAAGAUUCUGAGAGUCCCUCGGACUACAAGGAUAUCCAACCAAUCCAUCCUAAAGGAAAUCAGUCCUGAAUAUUCAUUGGAAGGACUGACGCUGAAGCUGAAACUCCAAUACUUUGGCCAUCUGAUGCAGAGAAAUGGCUAAUUGGAAAAGACCCUAAUUCUGGGAAAGGUUGAAGGCAGGAGGAGAAGGGGAUGACAGAGGAUGAGAUGGCUGGAUGGCAUCACCGACUCGAUGGACAUGAAUUUGAGUAAACUCCGGGAGUUGGUGAUGGACAGGAAAGCCUGGUGUGCUGCAGUUCAUGGGGUUGCAAACAGCCGGACACGACUGAGCAACUGAGCUGAACUGAGAAGGGCCGGACUCUCCCGGUUUCGAUGGCAACGCCAGAGUCUCGCGCAUCUCUGGCUCCUCCUAAGAGUACAUCAUGCGAGCUGCUGGGCUGAAUGAAGCACAAGCUAGAAUCAAGAUUGCAGGGAGAAAUAUCAAUAACCUCAGAUAUGCAAAUGACACCACCCUUAUGGCAGCAAGUGAAGAGGAACUAAAGAGCCUCUUGAUGAAGGUGCAAGAGGAGAGUGAGAAAGCUGGCUUAAAACAUUCAAAAAAUAAGAUCAUGGCAUCCAGACCCAUCACUUCAUGGCAAAUAGAUGGGUAAACAAUGGAAACAAUGACAGACUUUAUUUUCUUGGGCUCCAAAAUCACUGCAGAUGGUGACGGCAGCCAUGAAAUUAAAAGACACUUGCUCCUUGGAAGAAAAGCUAUGACAAACCUAGACAGCAUAUUACGACUCAAAGACAUUACUUUGCGUACAAUGGUCCCUAUAAUUGAAGCUAUGGUUUUUCCAGUAGUCAUGUAUGGAUGUGAGAGCUGAACAAUGAAAAAUGCUGAGCACUGAACAAUCGAUGCCUUCAAACUGUGGUGCUGGAGAAUACUCUUGAUAGAGUCCCUUGGACAGCAAGAAGAUCAAACCAGUCAAUCCUAAAGAAAAUGAAUCCUGAAUAUUCAUUGGAAAGACUGAUACUGAAGCUGAAACUCCAAUACUUUGACCUCCUCAUGCGAAGAGACAAGUCAUUGGGAAAGACCCUGAUGCUGGGAAAGAUUGAAGGCAGGAGGAGAAGGGGACAUCAGAGGAUGAGAUGGUUGAAUGACAUCACAAACUCAACAGAUAUGAGUUUGAGCAAGCUCCAGAAGAUGUGUGAAGGACAGGGAAGCCUGGCAUGCUGCAGUCCCUGGGGUGGCAAAGAGUCGGACACAACUGAGCGACUGAACAACAACAACAACAAUACUUAGAAAAGCACUAAAACCAUUAACUAAUAUAUUUGUUCCUCACAAACAGUGGUAACCUUCUACCAAGAUGAGUGCUUGACUGCACAGACCCCUUCAUCAAACUCACAUAUGCUACCGGCCUCCCCCGUACCUCUUCAGAACUGUUCUCAGAGAUCUCUGAGAGACUGUCUUCCAGGUUUUAAUCCUCAGUUGGCUCAAAUAACAUUUUCCGUUUCCUCUAAGAAUUUUGUCAACAUUUAUUUAUAUCUUAUUAAUCAUCCAAUAAAUGAUAUUUUGAAAUCCCUAAAUUGUGACUGUGCUUAUGCAAAAACGCAAGGAAAAACAUUUUGUUUUGCAAGAGUAUUUUUAAUUUAUUGAAAACUUUUCUGAAUAUUUAAAUUUUAUCUAAAGCUAAUUUUUUAGAAUUUAAUAUUUUAUUCUAAAACAAAAUUUUAUUUGUAAUUUUUUAAAUUUUAG